ensembl:lncRNA novel transcript
GGGCGUUGGAGAGGCCGCCCUUUUUGCAAGGCCCGAGACGGCGGGACCUGCACAAGCCGCCCUAUUCCAUGCCCUCAGGGCGUCAGUAUCCGCCUCAGGCCAGAUAACCCCUCUGGGCCCCGGGUGCCCCCGCUGGGCCCGGAGCAUCCUCGGCGCUGCCCUCCCAGAGCCCCGCAGAGGCUGAGGUGGCACGGGUUGGAGGGCCUGGCUCUGCGAGAAGCGGCGGCAGCGAGGGCUGGAGGACCCGGGCUACGUGGCUCUGGGGCGUCUGGCCUGGGUGGGACUGAGCCCAUCCAGGGACUGGGACUCCGGGGUUCUGGUGUAGGUGGAUCCGGGGCAGGCUCAGGACCAAGUCCCUCUCCUUCCACCAAGGAGCACCCAGAGGCCGGCGGGAGCUCCAGGUUCACCUCCUCUUCCUCCAGGAAAUCCCACUUCCAACUGGAUGUCUGGAUGAACUACUGAAAGCUGCUGAGUGUCCUGCAGCAGAAACUCCUAGAGGGCAGAGGCAUGCCUGCCAUCUUCAUCAUUGCAUUACCAUCACCCAACACUAUCAGGGGACCUGCCCUGAUAAUCAGUCUACAGUUGUAUCCAGCAGCUCCAGAGAGACAGCGACCAGCAAGAAGGGGCCAUGAUGAUGGUGGUGGUUUUUUCAAAACGAAAAGGGGGAUAUGUAGGGAAAAGAAAGAGAGAUCAGACUCUUACAGACUCUUACUGUGUCUACAUAGAAAGGGAAGACAUAAGAGACUCCAUUUGGAAAAAGACCUGUACUUUAAACAAUUGCUUUGCUGAGAUGUUGUUAAUCUGUAGCUUUGCCCCAGCCACUUUGCCCCAACCACUUUGACCCAGUCUGGAGCUCACAAAAACAUGUGUUGUAUGAAAUCAAGGUUUAAGGCAUGUAGGGCUGUGCAGGAUGUGCCUUGUUAACCAAAUGUUUGCAAGCAGUAUACUUGGUAAAAGUCAUCACCAUUCUCUUGUCUCAAUAAACCAGGGGCACAAUGCACUGUGGAAAGCCGCAGGGACCUCUGCCCUUGAAAGCUGGGUAUUAUUCAAAGUUUCCCCCCAUGUGAUAGUCUGAAAUAUGGCCUCGUGGGAUGAGAAAGGCCUGACGGUCCCCUAGCCCGACACCCAUAAAAGGUCUGUGCUGAGGUGGAUUAGUCAAAGAGGAAAGACUCUUGCAUUUGAGAUAGAGGAAGGCCACUGUCUCCUGCCUGCCCCUGGGAACUGAAUGUCUCGGUAUAAAACACGAUUGUACAUUUGUUCAAUUCUGAGAUGGGAGAAAAACCGCCCUAUGGUGGGAGGUGAGACAUGUUUACAGCAAUACUGCCUUGAUAUUCUUUACUCCACUGAGAUGUUUGGGUGGAGAGAAACAUAAAUCUGGCUUACAUGCACGUUCAGUCAUAGUACCUUCCCUUGAACUUCAUUAUGACAUAGAUUCUAUUGCUCACAUGUUUGUUGCUGACCUUCUUAUUAUCACCCUGCCCUCCUACUACAUUCCUUUUUGCUGAAAUAAUAAAGAUAGUAUUCAAUAAAAACUGAGGGAACUCAGAGACCGGUGCCAGUGCAGGUCCUUGGUAUGCUAAGCGCCGGUACCCUGGGCCCACU